AUAGUUUCUUUUUAAAAAUUCGUUAUUGCUUAAGUAUUACAUAAGUUUCUUUUUUCCGCCAUUGACCUCCCCAGCUGCUCCCACCCCCAGCACAUG